AUGAGGCCCUAUUUUGUGAAGAAUCCCACAUACCCCGAGUCCUACUUUCGUCACCGGUUUAGGAUGAGCACCGAGUUGUUCAGGCGCAUUACAGAGAAACUAGCAAGCUAUGACCGGUUUUUUCAGCAGAGGAGGAAUGCCGCCGGAGAGCUCGGGCAUAGCACCUUUCAGAAGGUGACAGCCGCUUUGCGUAUGUUGGCAUACGGUAUUCCGGCUGAUCUAGUUGAUGACCACUUGGCCAUGGGUGAGUGA
rnacentral:rRNA from 1 species